AUUGAACGCUGGCGGCAGGCCUAACACAUGCAAGUCGAACGGUAGCACAGAGAGCUUUCUCUCGGGUGACGAGUGGCGGACGGGUGAGUAACGGCUGGAAACUGCCCGAGGGAGGGGGAUAACUACUGGAAACGGUAGCUAAUACCGCAUCACGUCGCAAGACCAAAGUGGGGGACCUUCGGGCCUCACACCAUCGGAUGUGCCCAGAUGGGAUUAGCUAGUAGGUGGGGUGAUGGCUCACCUAGGCGACGAUCCCUAGCUGGUCUGAGAGGAUGACCAGCCACACUGGAACUGAGACACGGUCCAGACUCCUACGGGAGGCAGCAGUGGGGAAUAUUGCACAAUGGGCGCAAGCCUGAUGCAGCCAUGCCGCGUGUAUGAAGAAGGCCUUCGGGUUGUAAAGUACUUUCAGCGGGGAGGAAGGCGGUGAAGUUAAUAACUUCACCGAUUGACGUACCCGCAGAAGAAGCACCGGCUAACUCCGUGCCAGCCGCCGCAGUAAGAC
rnacentral:rRNA from 1 species